rnacentral:lncRNA from 1 species
GAUUUGGAACCUCGCAUCACCAGGAUUGAGAUUCGGAAGGUGAGGUUCGCAUCGUACUAGAAGGAUUUAGCUUAAGUGUUGAUUUUGAAAGAUUAAGGCAUGUUUAAUGCUUUUGGGGUUCGGAUUAUUGGAGAGUUACGAUUGCUGGUUGAGAGCGGGCUCGGCUGAAUUUAGGUGACUUCUUCGCUGCCAGGGAUUAGCUUUCGAGGUGGGUUUACAUCGGUUUUACUCUUAAGUUCAUAAUCGUCGGCAUGUAUAGAUUUCGAUUUUUAGAUACUCUAUUCUAGCUCGAAUUCAUAGAUUAUAUUGUAGAUUGCAAAUCUGAAUUUGGAGCAUGUGGUAAUAAAUUGAGUAGUUUAUACAUGUUGGACUUGGAAUUUGAAUUAGGAGAAAACCUGCGAUUUGGACCUGUCACCUGUUUAAACUACCUGAUUUAGCCCUAGGGGCCGUUGUAUGAUUUUAUACUGUUGCAGUAUCAUCAUAGCAAGUAUUCCAGGUAGUUUAGAUUUCAGUUACACUUGCGCUGGGAUGCCGAAUGAAUUUUUACUGUAGCGUUUAGGCUGUUCCGAACUGUUGGGCGCCGUCGGGGUUGACGGUGGACCCGUAUCGCCGUUUUGGCGUCAGAUUGUGCCGAGGGCACGUGACCUGUUGGUUGUUAGACUAGUUAGAGUCGUUUACUUGACCUUAGCCUGUGAGAGCCGUGUGAACUUAACAGAGAUA